CAGUCGCCGCGGGAAUACGAAGGGAGCUAGCGUUGUUCGGAUUUACUGGGCGUAAAGCGCACGUAGGCGGAUCGAUCAGUCAGGGGUGAAACCCCAGAGCUCAACUCUGGAACUGCCUUUGAUACUGUCGAUCUGGAGUAUGGAAGAGGUGAGUGGAAUUCCGAGUGUAGAGGUGAAAUUCGUAGAUAUUCAGAGGAACACCAGUGGCGAAGGCGGCUCACUUGUCCAUUACUGACGCUGAGGCACGAAAGCGUGGGGAGCAAACAGGAUUAGAUACCCCCGUAGUCCCUGUCUCUUAUAC
rnacentral:rRNA from 1 species